UACAGAGGGUGCAAGCGUUAAUCGGAUUUACUGGGCGUAAAGCGUGAGUAGGUGGCUCGCUAAGUCGAUUGUGAAAGCCCUGGGCUCAACCUGGGAAUUGCAGUCGAUACUGGAGAGCUAGAGUUCGGUAGAGGGUGACGGAAUUCCCGGUGUAGCGGUGAAAUGCGUUGAUAUCCGAAGGAACGCCGGUGACGAAAGCGACGGGCUGGAUCUCUUCUGACGCUGAGGCGCGAAAGCUAGGGUAGCGAACGGG
rnacentral:rRNA from 1 species